CCUACGGGGGGCUGCAGUGAGGAAUAUUGGUCAAUGGGCGGAAGCCUGAACCAGCCAAGUCGCGUGAGGGAAUAAGGCCCUACGGGUCGUAAACCUCUUUUGCCGGGGAGCAAGGGCGGGGACGUGUCCCGGCCCGGAGAGUACCCGGAGAAAAAGCAUCGGCUAACUCCGUGCCAGCAGCCGCGGUAAUACGGAGGAUGCGAGCGUUAUCCGGAUUUAUUGGGUUUAAAGGGUGCGUAGGCGGUCCGGAAAGUCAGCGGUAAAAGCCCGGGGCUCAACCCCGGCGAGCCGUUGAAACUGUCGGACUAGAGACGGCGAGAAGUACGCGGAAUGCGCGGUGUAGCGGUGAAAUGCAUAGAUAUCGCGCAGAACUCCGAUUGCGAAGGCAGCGUACCGGCGCCGGACUGACGCUGAGGCACGAAAGCGUGGGUAUCGAACAGGAUUAGAUACCCUUGUAGUC
rnacentral:rRNA from 1 species